rnacentral:rRNA from 1 species
CGGAGGGUGCAAACGUUGCUCGGAAUCAUUGGGCGUAAAGCGCACGUAGGCGGACUGUUUAGUCGGAUGUGAAAUCCCUCGGCUUAACCGAGGAAGUGCAUUCGAAACUGGCAGUCUUGAGUAUGGAAGAGGGUCGCGGAAUUCCCGGUGUAGAGGUGAAAUUCGUAGAUAUCGGGAGGAACACCAGUGGCGAAGGCGGCGACCUGGGCCAAUACUGACGCUGAGGUGCGAAAGCGUGGGGAGCGAAACAGGAUUAGAUACCCUGGUAGUCCACGCUGUAAACGAUGAGUGCUAGAUGUCGCGGGUAUUGACCCCUGCGGCGUCGCAGCUAACGCGUUAAGCACUCCGCCUGGGGAGUACGGCCGCAAGGCUA